rnacentral:lncRNA from 1 species
ACAAAAUUGGAAGUAUUUUGAGGAACCCAAAGUUUUAAUGAAAGUCGAAAAUUAGAAUAAUUUCUAUUCUAGGGGGCGCCAAACACACAGCAAACUGUCCUUACUUUAUUGUUUCUCAGCAGCACUGCUUUAGCUGAUAAACAGAAACUCCCACUGCUCUCUUUCAGACGCCACAGAACUCCUGUGAGAAAUUUCAGUGAUCUUGAUGAUCUUAUUAAAUAUUUAGUGUUGCUAGAGUAUGACCUACUUUUUGUAUCUUAUAACGUAUCUUUUGUGACUUUUUUUACCUGAUGGGUCCUACUGGAGUCCUGAAAACCAUGUACUAACAGUGAGUAACUUUGGAACAGACUCUGGAUGUAAUAAAAGAGUCUAAAGGAGAGGGUAUGUUUCAAACAAUUAGAGAUAAUGAGAAAAUUAAAUUUUAGCAUUGAUCUGUAUACCACUUAGUUUACUAAAAAUGUUGUAGAGAAAUAGAAGAGUAUCAUUAGCUUCCAAAUUGCAAUAAGCUUCUUGAUUCUUAUAGCCAUCCUCCCCCUCCACGAGACAUUGACUCUCCGCUUCUGCGACAUUCGAAUCCUAAGAAGGUCUGGCCACACGAACCUUCACUCCAGUAAGAUGGACUCUUUACCAUCUGAACCGCCAGGGAAGUCCCGCUACUCACUGUACCGGCAUCUUGGACUGAAGGAAUGUGGAAAUGUAACAGUGC